AACACUGUUAACCUGCGGUACCUGCGGAGGGAUCAUUAACAGUGAGCCCUGAUCUUUAUCAGGGACUACACCUCUAACACUACAAAGAGACCCCUGCUGCCCGUAACUUUUUUACGGCUACAGGGUGUUGCUUUGAAUGUGUAAUGCGUCCACCCAUUGUGAAACUUAACCUAUGCUUCGGCAGCACUCUUAGCCUUAAAACCGCUAGAGGGGUAAGGCUGUCAGAAGCCCACUAUCAAA
rnacentral:misc_RNA from 1 species